rnacentral:rRNA from 1 species
CGGCAACAGCUCAAAUUUGAAAUCUGGCCUCUUUUGGGGUCCGAGUUGUAAUUUGUAGAGGAUGUUUUGGGUACCGCACUGGUUUAAAUUUCUUGGAACAGAAUGUCAGAGAGGGUGAGAAUCCCGUACGUGGCUGGCCACCUUCGCCCGUGUGAAGCUCUUUCGAC